CCUACGGGAGGCAGCAGUAGGGAAUCUUCCACAAUGGGCGCAAGCCUGAUGGAGCAACACCGCGUGAGUGAAGAAGGGUUUCGGCUCGUAAAGCUCUGUUGUUGGAGAAGAACGUGCGUGAGAGUAACUGUUCACGCAGUGACGGCAUCCAACCAGAAAGUCACGGCUAACUACGUGCGAGCAGCCGCGGUAAUACGUAGGGGGCAAGCGUUAGCUGGAUUUAUUGGGCGUAAAGCGAGUGCAGGCGGUAGGCUAGGUCUGAUGUGAAAGUCUUCGGCUUAACCAAAGAAGUGCAUCGGAAACCGGGCAACUUGAGUGCGGGAGAGGUAGGUGGAACUCCAGGUGUAGCGGUGGAAUGCGUAGAUAUAAGGAAGAACACCAAUGGCGAAGGCGGCUGUCUGGACUGCAACUGACGCUGAGGCUCGAAAGCGUGGGUAGCGAACAGGAUUAGAUACCCGGGUAGUC
rnacentral:rRNA from 1 species